rnacentral:lncRNA from 1 species
AGAGGAGGAAGCAGGGCAGCCAAUUCUGAUUCCGGCCUCCUAUUAAUUUCAGGAAAGGAUAAAUCAGGGCGAUUCUUUCUUUUCAGAGUGACUGGCUCCCCCUCUGCCAACACGGUUGCUAAGCAAAGCCUGGGCCUCGCUGUGUGUGUGGGCAUGCACCUCCCGGCCUGCAAGUUCAUCAAGAGAGGGCAACGAGAAAGACUGGCAGGAAAACAGGCUCUGAGCAAGAUAGCUAGCUCCAAGGGGCUAAGACCCAAAGACCUGAACACACUGCAACAGAGCAAAGCACGCACUAGUGUUGGAUGAAGUCAGCCCGAGAGGUGAUGCUGGUGAAACUGCACCGGGACGGCUCUCUGAGGACCACUGACAUAAGGCACGGCCCUCCCUGACCCCAGACCAACCCAGGUGGGAGAUAAAUCAUCUACAUAUUUGUAGUUUUCUGGGCUGUUUUGUAUUUCAAUAGCCUUGGCCUGUGCUUUAGAUAUCUCAGGACUGACCUCGUGGCUUCUCUGGUGUCUCCGAUUCCCACUGAUGGCCCAGACAUGACCAGUGGCCUUUCGUGCCCUCCAUCUUUCCAUCCUAGUGACAGGUUUCCUAGUCCCCAGAUUGAGUUUGGCUUCGGUGCCUGUCAUCCUGAUCUGUCCUCGCCAGUGUCCCUCCCAGGGCUUGGACCCUGCCAGUCAGUCCCACCCCAGCAUACAGACGUUUUUGCCUGGCUUGUAGGGAACAGAGUUCUGGUCUUUGCCUGCUGCCCCGUGGCAGAGCCUCCCCGUCCUCCAGGGGCCCACUCCCGGUCUUCUGCAGCUGGGCUUCCCCUGCCUGGUGAGACCCAGUGCUGCCGUCUUGGAAAGUCUAGAGCCCAGGGAUUCCUGUAUCACUGCUGGGUUUGCUGCAUACUGUGGACCCUGAGCCUGGCCUGUCUGGGCUACUUGCCACCUCCUAGCACGAUCCUUAAUGGACAGGUCUGAGCUCGUUCUUCAUCCCUCUUCCUCAGCAUUACCACAAGAAACUAUACACUAGAUUCUGGAAAUAAGACAAGAAAUCAUUCAUUUCAACAAUGACUUAUUGAACAAUACUCUGUGGCUAGCACUGCUUCAGUGACCUGGUGACACAGCAGUGCACAAAACAGAAAAACAAACUUUCUGCCUUACAUUCCACUGGAGAGACACAGACAAUUAAUCAAUCAAUCAAAAAUGGCAGCUAUAGUAUGUUGGAUCAAGAGAAAAAAUGAAGUCAAGAAGGCUAGGUAGUUGCACUUCAAACAGAGGGGACGAGGAAGGCUUUGCUGUGUAAAAACUUGAAGGAGAAGAGGAAUCAAGCCACCAGGCUGUUAGGGAGUGAGAAGUCGGAACUUCAUCAAGCACCUGUACCACUCUGUGGGCCAGAAUUUGAGAAGCACUGAAAUAAACAAUUUUGAUGAAUACAAUCAAUGUUUAAAAGGCCUGUGUUAUAGAGCCAUCCUAACUCAUGUAAUAAACGGAAGAUACAGUGGAGAGUCUCCUGUGACAACAGUACUGUCUAGAAAUGGACAAAGGCUCAGAUGAAUAAAUGUGGGUCAUUCCGCUUUUCUCAUUAGAGUGAGAAUGGUAACACAUAUGCAUACACAUAUCCCAAAACAAACACCACAAGCCCUACAGCACUGAAAACGUAGUUCAACCUUAUUACCUGAUCAGGAAAAAUGUAUCAACUCCAAGAUAGAAGGGACCACUCCAAGAGUAAACACACAGUGGGUUUCUAAGCACUCUGCUGUUCCAUUCAAGCACAUUAUCUGUAACAAACAUUAAAAAGCAGUGUCUUUUUGUUUCAUAGAAGAAAAUCAUGUGAUUUCUCUUUUCAGAAAAAGCAAGAGGAACACCUUCGACUUUCAGUUGUGCUGGGCAGGCUUUAAGAAUCAC